GGAUCUGGAUCUGGAUCCAGCUGUGUGUCCUUCAGGAGUGACAAAUCAAAGGGUAUACCUCCUAACUUCAAAGACAUGGAUUCAGGGGUAGAACAGUUCCAACAGAGAUCUGGAUCCAGUUGUGUGUCCAACAGGAGUGACGACUCAAAGAAGUUUAUUCCUCCUGUCUUCAAGUCCAUCAGUUCAGCAGUGGAACAGUAAGUGUUUGUCAGAGUUAAAGGAGUCUGGAUAAUAGUUCAGAUGAUCAAUAGUUUUCAGAUGAAUGACUUGAGUUCUGGUUCAGUUCUUGAUCUCUCUGAUCAGACUCUCUUGGAUCAUCAUGUGUGAUCAGAUCUUUUCAGUUGAUCUUCUGAGAGUCUCUGAGAUCAGAGAUGUUGGAGAAACUUUAAACAGAAAUGAAUCUUUCUACAUUUUCUGAUCUGGACAAAUGUUUGGAUCAGAAAAGAAACUGUUUUGUCAAAUAUGUUAAUGAUAGUUUUUUAUAAUGUUAAUGCUGACUGACAAUCAUCCACUACAUCUCUGAGUCCUCUAUUUAGGUCCACACAAACCAGAGCUAAUAUUUAAUAAACAUUAAUCAAUAAAGUGAUUGUCCUCCAAUGAUGUCAUUAUAAUGUAGAAAUUAAAGUGAUGAACUCUUGAUUCAUUUUGUUCAACUACCAGCUGAGAUAUAUUCUAUAGAAUCUUUUAACAAUGUCUCUCUGAUGUUCUUCAUAAAUGUGUAAAAACUUUAUUAAUUCAUUCAGGUCAGCUGACCCUCCAGAGGUCAUUAUUAUUACAGAAACAUCUGUUUAUUUGUUUUAAAUGAUCUUUUAAUAAACUGGAUAAAUUCAGGAUCAACAAUUCAGUUACAGCCUUUAAUGAUGUAAAUGAAAUAUCUGGAUUUAUAUAAAUUACUGUCAGUUAUGUGUUAAUCUGUUAACUAGAGUUUUCUGAUCGUUUGUUGAUUUGUUUGUUUUUUGUUGCUUCUACUUUUCAAGAUUAAGGGAAAAAUGUUUUUUUCACGUUCUUGAUCCAGUGAGCAUGAGAUUAUACCUUUAGCUUUUUUAAGUAUAAAAUGUCAAAUUGGGUGAAUGAAUAUUUAUGUAAAAACAAAUUAUGAUCAAUCUUUUUGACCUGUAAGAUAAUCAUAGCCUGGAUUGGUUGUUAAUAUUGUAUUCUAUGUGGUGAAAAAACACAUUUAAUGUUUCUUUUAUGUAUUUUUUUUUUAAUUAGACAACUUUGUUUCGUUGAAUCUUCAUCAUCUGUUUAAAAAAAUCGACUAAUAUUUUUUGACUUUUUUACACAAAGUUUCUUGUUCUAUCAUUUUAUUUUGAAAAUAGACUUUCAUAAACCAGAACCUUAAAAAUACAAACUUCGGCCCCGUUCAGACUGAUCCAUAAAAUAAUGUCUGAGAAAGGUUGAGGACCACUGAUUUAAAUCAAUACACAAAUAUUUUUGUUAUUGUGAGCAGAGAGGAAUGAAUGAAU